rnacentral:snoRNA from 1 species
UUCGUUGAUGAAAAUUGCUGUGUAGGAAGUGCCGUCUGAUGCGACAACUGACGAUGGCUGUUCUGAGA